UAAUGAAAACCUCUUAAACUGAGUUUAUGAACUUAGAAAACCUGUUCAAGUACUACACAACUAUGAAUAAAGAAAACUAUGAUCACCAAUUAUAAAGUUUAAUGAGGAUAAAACCUCUAAAAUGAAGUGUAGGAACUACAAAACAGACUGUAGUAAAAAACUGCCCAACUCACACUAGUAACUAGAUUUACUAUAGUAACAUUUACUAUACCUUAGUGUGGAAAAACUACACAAAUGCUAAAGUUUUGCCUUUUUAAAAUCGAGCUUAAGAACUACAAAACUUGUUGAUGUAAUACAUAUUGUCUUCCUAUUCCAGAGCCGUUCACAAGGACCAUAUGACUCUGGCCUUGAGUGAAGUGUAUCAAGGCCAUUUGAGAGAGAGACUAACAGAAUAAAGUGGAACGGCCUCUUGAAGGGCUCGGCUUCUUUUUACAGACAGAUGGAGCAGAAAGUGAGAGAGAGGACACCUGCUGGUCCACAGUGCUGCCCCCCUUCUGCUUCUCCUUUUCUCUACCUCUUUUUCUCACUCCAGCAUUAGAAUUCAGCAUCUCUUCUGCCUCGUCUGAGUGAGUGGGUUACUGAAGCGUGUCACAGUAAGAACUAGUGAAUGAUAAUAAACCGAGCGUGUGUGAGAGGGAGGGGAAGAGGGAGGAGAUCCGAGAGGAUUCCUGUAAGCCGGCUCUCUUCUUGAAUUGUAGAUAGGGAAAGAAAGAAAGAAAGUAAGUGAGCGAGCGAGAGAGAGGAGGAACGAGGUUGUCGACUGAAUCACCACCUCCUCCGCCACUUCACCACUCCUUUCUCUUGGCACGGGGGAGCGAGUGUGGGACUGGAUGCCCCACACGGUUUCCUCUCCCCCUUUCCUGUCCUCCACCAGCAGACCCACUUCUCCAAAUGAAUUCAUUCAUCUUCUUCCCUCCUUUUGUCAUUUUCAUGUCAACCUCCCUCCGCUUUAUUAUUAUUAUUUUAUUUUCUCUCCUUCUCUCCCCCCUUGUUCUCUUUUCCGAGCUCUCCCACACAUUGCUAUCCCACUCGUUUUGUCACAGCCAAGGAAAAGAAAAUGAUCGUCCGGCAAGCCGCAAAAGCAAAAGAGGAGCAACUGUACGAGGAGGGAUCUGUCCGGGCGUGGAGCUCAAAGCCGUAAGAAGCCGGUCCCCUCCUGAUGGAUUAUCCCGAGUGAAGAACUCGGAAUGGCAGAGAGAAAAGAAAAGAGCCGUGCUGAAAACCUGAGGGGGGGACGAUCGUUCUUUUUCUUUUCUAACAUUCAGACAGUUCUCAACUCGUUCUCCGUUGUUUAAUUCGAUCUCUUGUUUCUCGCUCGUGUCUCUGAACCCCCUUCCAACUCUCUCUCGUCUCUGAUUUGGGACGAUUUGGCUGUUCAUUGUGAAGAAUUCUCAGGACUGUGCUCUGAAAAGCACUUUUCAAUCUAAUUAAUUCCUUUCUGAGCUGAGACUCGAAAAGAAGCCUUUUUUCCCUCUUGGUCUCCCUCCUUUUGAGACCUAAAUAAUUGGAGCCGUGGACUCCACUGUAACUGUGCCACAGGAGCAAGUUGGACCAAUCUGGACACAACACCUGGUGCAGUGUUUGCCAGUGGAGCCAUUUUUCCCCCUUCUCCAAACCACUUUAUUAUCUCUGGGAGGGGGCACAACCACCCAAGCCUUGGGGCCUUAUUGAUCUGGAUAUGCUGAGGAAGAAAUGGAGAAAGAGAGACCUCCAAGGAGAUGAAAGCCAAAGCGAACUCAGUCUUCGAGCCCAAAUCCGAGAUCUUGAUGAACCUGUCCUCAAAAGAAGACACAAUGAGGGACCAUUCUGAUCUGGAGACACUUGACAACCUUGAGUAUCCGUUCAAGACUUACAAAACCAGCUAGAAUAGAUGAACUAUCAUCUCCUCCCUCAGGUUUUGUCUUAACCUAAGGUAUAGAGUCAAAUUUGAAGGAAAAAAGCAGAUGUGCCACAAAUUGGCCUCAAUUCCAAGGCUCUGAAGAAUCUUGGAUAAGACUGGGAACCCUUUUUCACACUGUUUUGUACUUUUUUCCCAGCCUUUUCUUUGCCUCCGCCCCCGUUUCUACGUUAAGUCAUUCACUGGGGCACUUUUGGUCCCCCUCCUCCUUUUAGUAGCUGAAAGCCGUUGAUCACUAAUCCACGGCCGUUUCAUCAGAUUCUUGCGCUGAUUUCUACAUUGAUUGGCCAUCUACUUCAGAACCUCUCUGGCUCCCUCCUCUUGCUCUUUCACUCUCCUUCAUCCACUUCUCACUCUCUCAUCCCCCUCCCUUUCUCUCUCUCUCUCUCUCUCUUUCUCUCGCCCUGCCUCAUUGUCUCUGUGUGCGGCAACAGUGCUGCUGGAAGCCAGUCCGUUUCACUGCUCGCCAGACAGAGGAAGGCAGAGGUUUGCAAUUUGUGGAAAUCCAGAGAUAGGUAGACUAUGCCUCAGUUCACCUUUGCCUGCUUCUGCGGCCUUCAUGGCUUCUGUGGAAGGAAAAA